rnacentral:rRNA from 1 species
UACGUAGGGGCCGAGCGUUGUCCGGAAUUAUUGGGCGUAAAGAGCGUGUAGGCGGCCCGAUUAGUCCGCUGUGAAAGUCCAGGGCUCAACCCUGGAAUGCCGGUGGAUACUGUCGGGCUAGAGUCCGGAAGGGGCGAGUGGAAUUCCUGGUGUAGCGGUGAAAUGCGCAGAUAUCAGGAGGAACACCAAUGGCGAAGGCAGCUCGCUGGGACGUGACUGACGCUGAGACGCGAAAGCGUGGGGAGCAAACAGG